GAUCAAUGGCUCAGGACGAACGCUGGCGGCGCGCCUAACACAUGCAAGUCGAACGGGGUUAUACGGGAUGAAGUUUUCGGAUGGAAUUCUAUAUAACCUAGUGGCGGACGGGUGAGUAACACGUGAGCAACCUGCCUAUCAGAGGGGGAUAACGAUUGGAAACGAUCGCUAAUACCGCAUGACAUAGCGAAGAGGCAUCUUUUUGCUAUCAAAGAUUUAUCGCUGAUAGAUGGG
rnacentral:rRNA from 1 species